GGAAUAUAAGAAUUCGUCUCUUAACUUUUAACUAAAAAAGCUAAGAACUGGUUCUUAAAUAAGAUAUUUAAGAACCGGUUCUUAGCUUUUUCAGUUAAAAGUUAAGAAACGAAUUCUUAUGUUCC
rfam:Brassica napus, WGS project CCCW01000000 data, contig: 16530